GGAAAAAAGCACAUAACUCUAAGUUUAAAGCUUUUUAUUCAGUAAACUCAAGAAUGUGAACCGAAUACUCUGUCUUUCAAAAACCGAAUUUCUCAGCAAUGAGCCCUCACAGAGAAAAUUUUAGAGAAAAUAUGUCUGGAAAAAGCAAAAUGACUCUAGAGGGAGAAUAUUAAUGUGGCAGGGAUUCGCGAAAGCACCAUAAUCUUUAAGGAAAAUGACAUUUCAGUGGCACAUGAGAACAGACCUUUGGGGUCCUACUGCCUGGGCUCCGGAGAACUAGCGAAAUCAUUUGAAAUACAAAUAAAUUGAAUAUGUUAUUAUGUAUGCAUUGUAAAAUAAAGAAAACCUUCAACAGUUUGGAAACGCAAUCAUCAUCAUG
rnacentral:lncRNA from 1 species